rnacentral:tRNA from 1 species
GGGGUUGUGACUCAGUGAUAGAGUGCUCACCUAGCAUGCGUGAGGCACUGGGUUUGAUCCUCAGCACCACA